rnacentral:rRNA from 1 species
ACGCGUCGCGCAUGACUGAAUCCUUAUCUCUACGAGCACCAAUCGUUCUCCUUCGGCAGGGCAACCUGCCGUCGGAACCCCCAAAACCCUUCUGCAUCCAGCAUCUACCUGUUCCGAUACCUAUAAUUAUUACAACUUUCAACAAUGGAUCUCUUGGCUCUGGCAUCGAUGAAGAACGCAGCGAAAUGCGAUAAGUAGUGUGAAUUGCAGAAUUCAGUGAAUCAUCGAAUCUUUGAACGCACAUUGCGCCCCUCGGUAUUCCGUGGGGCAUGCCUGUUCGAGCGUCAUCUACACCCUCAAGCCCUGCUUGGUGAUGGGCGUCUGUCCCGCCUCUGCGCGCGGACUCGCCCCAAAUCGAUUGGCAGCGGUCCUUGCCUCCUCUCGCGCAGACCAUUGCGCUUCUCGGGGAGCAGCGGCCCGCGUCCACGAAGCACACCCAAAUUUGAC